rnacentral:rRNA from 1 species
GACGAACGCUGGCGGCGUGCUUAACACAUGCAAGUCGAACGGAAAGGCCCUGCUUUUGUGGGGUGCUCGAGUGGCGAACGGGUGAGUAACACGUGAGUAACCUGCCCUUGACUUUGGGAUAACUUCAGGAAACUGGGGCUAAUACCGGAUAGGAGCUCCUGCUGCAUGGUGGGGGUUGGAAAGUUUCGGCGGUUGGGGAUGGACUCGCGGCUUAUCAGCUUGUUGGUGGGGUAGUGGCUUACCAAGGCUUUGACGGGUAGCCGGCCUGAGAGGGUGACCGGCCACAUUGGGACUGAGAUACGGCCCAGACUCCUACGGGAGGCAGCAGUGGGGAAUAUUGCACAAUGGGCGGAAGCCUGAUGCAGCAACGCCGCGUGCGAGAUGACGGCCUUCGGGUUGUAAACCGCUUUCGCCUGUGACGAAGCGUGAGUGACGGUAAUGGGUAAAGAAGCACCGGCUAACUACGUGCCAGCAGCCGCGGUGAUACGUAGGGUACGAGCGUUGUCCGGAUUUAUUGGGCGUAAAGGGCUCGUAGGUGGUUGAUCGCGUCGGAAGUGUAAUCUUGGGGCUUAACCCUGAGCGUGCUUUCGAUACGGGUUGACUUGAGGAAGGUAGGGGAGAAUGGAAUUCCUGGUGGAGCGGUGGAAUGCGCAGAUAUCAGGAGGAACACCAGUGGCGAAGGCGGUUCUCUGGGCCUUUCCUGACGCUGAGGAGCGAAAGCGUGGGGAGCGAACAGGCUUAGAUACCCUGGUAGUCCACGCUGUAAACGGUGGGUACUAGGUGUGGGGUCCAUUCCACGGGUUCCGUGCCGUAGCUAACGCUUUAAGUACCCCGCCUGGGGAGUACGGCCGCAAGGCUAAAACUCAAAGGAAUUGACGGGGCCCCGCACAAGCGGCGGAGCAUGCGGAUUAAUUCGAUGCAACGCGUAGAACCUUACCUGGGUUUGACAUGGAUCGGGAGUGCUCAGAGAUGGGUGUGCCUCUUUUGGGGUCGGUUCACAGGUGGUGCAUGGCUGUCGUCAGCUCGUGUCGUGAGAUGUUGGGUUAAGUCCCGCAACGAGCGCAACCCUUGUUCACUGUUGCCAGCACGUUAUGGUGGGGACUCAGUGGAGACCGCCGGGGUCAACUCGGAGGAAGGUGGGGGUGACGUCAAGUCAUCAUGCCCCUUAUGUCCAGGGCUUCACGCAUGCUACAAUGGCUGGUACAGAGAGUGGCGAGCCUGUGAGGGUGAGCGAAUCUCGGAAAGCCGGUCUCAGUUCGGAUUGGGGUCUGCAACUCGACCUCAUGAAGUCGGAGUCGCUAGUAAUCGCAGAUCAGCAACGCUGCGGUGAAUACGUUCCCGGG